GAUGGCAAAAUAACGGUUCUUUCAAUAAAGAAAAUAUUUGUGAUCAGAAAAGGAAAAAUCAACAAAUGUAUUUGAUCAAGAUGAUGCUUUUAUCAGGAACAUAAUGAUAAUAGCAAAAUAAGCCUCAAUUGUGUAAAAAGCACGCAUUAACUUUGAUUCGCUCGUCUGACUUCAAUGAAGUCGCUUCUUUAUUCGCUACAAUCAUCAUCAUAAUCAUCUUCAGCCAUCAAUAAUCAUUUAUUCAACAUUCAAUUGACCAUCAUCGUUAUUAACUUUUUAUUAACGAAAUUGGUUAAAUGUCUUGUCUAGAAAUUCACGAUUCUUUACCGAUUCAGUGUUUUGUUGCUCCGAACCCUAUUUUGUUUUGCCGUUUUCAAAGCCUUCUUCCAUUACAGUUCCAUCUAGAAUGAAUAAGUCAAAAGGUCAGCUCAUGGAGUUUAAAUUGACCACGAAUCGGACCUAAAUCUAGUCAAUUGUCAAAGAUUAAUCGUCUUGAUGGAUAAGUCAAAGGCUUGUUGCAAUUGCACAAACUAUUUCUAUUUAGUCAUUUCAAGAUGAUAUACAAAUAGUUUCAAUAAUAUCUCAAACAGUUGAGCCGAUGCCUUUCCAUUCAGAAUUCAACUUUUCAACAAUUGGAUCAAUAUAAAUGUCACAUUCACUAAUCAAGUGGAUAAAAUAAGAUAAUCGCGAAUUAAACAUUUAAAUUGCAAUGUUUCAAGAGCGAUAACUAAAGGUCUCGAUAGAUACUUUCUAAGGGUGUUUCCUAUUCUUUGAGUCUUGUUAUAAAUAGGUAUAAAUGUGUUCAUCAGAUCAGAUUAUGCUACCUUAAGUUUUGUCAAUGCUUUUCAAUACAACAUUCAAGAUAAUUUUUAGUUCAAAUUAGACUAAAGUCUAGGGUAAGGACUAGGGGUAAGCAUACUCUGAAUACAACUAGACUCGAGUCACGCAUAUUAAGACUACCUUGAAAUAGUCGAUUUAUCAUACAUGUAUUUCCAUGUUAAUCUAUUCAAAGAUUUAAGGUUAUUUUGUCUGAUUAUAAGGGAAUCGAGUGUAGUGCUCAUUUGGAGAAGUUGAUUGUCAUUACAAUCGCAGAACCAAAACACUAGAAUAACACAAAAAAAGAAAGAGAUGUAAGUUGCUCUGAAGCUUCUUUAAUUGUCAGCCACUUUGUAAAUUCAUUAACAUAACAGCUCUUAAUCAAAGCUCCUUCUUGUUUCAAUACAACCGGACUUCAACCAUAAUAGCUGAUUAUAUCGCCGAUUAUUAGACAACUACCAGCAAAUAGUCUAUUCUAGUAAAAAAAUGUAUAAAAAAUAAUCGAUUUAGUUUUUUUUCGAGAAAACUUUUCUGUCCCAUUAUUAUUCAUGAUCCCACAAUUAAGGUUAAUCAAUAUAAUCAAAUCCAAUUGUGUACAAUAUAUUUAUUCAAAUGAAGUGCUCAUAGAUGUGUAAUAAUGAACCAGAAACCAGAGUAACACACAUAUUUAUUAUGAUUGCAUUGGUCCACCUAAACAGAGUAACCACAAGAAUCUUAUUAUAAUCACUAUUUUGUUAUCUUUCAUUCAACUGAUUGUUUAAUGAACGUCAAUUACAUGUAAAUGAAUUAAUAUGUUGAUUGUGAAGCAAUUUUAAACUCAUCGUGACUAAAUCUUCUCUUCACUUGUUCCCAUGUUUGUCAAUUGAGAUAUUAAUGUAACUGUGAAUUUGAUGAUGAUCAUGAUGAUGAUGACGAUUGUAUAUUUAUCUUAAUUUGCCUUGAUAUCUUUUAGACAAUUAGCAUUUCCAGGUCAAAAUAAGUUUAGAUUGUUGAUGAGAUGGACAACAGAUAAUCCUUGAUGGACAACUUUAGUCUUUAAAUAUGUGAAUCAAUUCUGGUAAUGGCACAAGAUGAGCAAGAUUAAUUCAUUUGAUAGAUAAACUGGGUCUUACUUGCGUCUACACUGUUCGCAACUACAACUGUACUUCCAACUACUACUGUACUUCCAAUUGAAUUAUUUAGGAUUGAAUGGUCGAAUCUAAUUAAAUCUAAUUGCUGUUUCGCCGUUUGUUGUGGACUCAAGUUGGCCAUAGAGGUUGAUUGAACAAACAGUAUCCAUGUGUGACUUCACGCAAUGCCAUUGACCAAAAGUUCAGUUAAGUAAGAUGAGCCUAAUAGUAUUCCUUACUUGACUAAAAAUUGAAUCAUUUGUUUGUUUAACCCGUUUGGUUAAUUAAGACAAGAGACAAAAUCUUAAUGAUUUGUUUGCUUCUUUUUUUGUCCUCGGCUUUUCGCUUCUUGAUUGAUAUCACAUUAUAAAUACCAAAGAAUAUUUACAAAUGUAAUAUGAGGCGAGAUCGGGUAACUUGCUUUUUUCAGGUUUACUUUAACCGACAACUUAUUGUUAAGUAAGGCUGUUUUAUCAGACGAUGAUGAUAAAUGACGAUUAAAACAGAAGUUGCAGACAAAAGAGGAGACAAGAUCCACAUUAUGACCAUAAUCCUUUGGCUUACCAAUGAUUUGUGUAGAAAAUUUACUCAAGCUGUUCAUUUCAAUUUUAGAGUUUGAAUAGAUAACUAGUUUUGUUCUCUUUUCAUUCUUCUUUUUCUCUAAUCAUUUAUUUCUAGUUAAAGUCUUAUUUUCUUUAAAUAUUUUCAUCGAAUUCAUAUUUGUGUUACGAUAUUAUUUAUAAUUGUUUUUAUUGUUUUUUCAAAAAUAUUUUCUCACAAGUAUUUCUACUCACCAUGUCAGUGCGUCUUAGACCCCAAUCGAGUUCAAAUGUUAUCGUCGCCCAUCACUCGGGAGGAUCGUUUGAGGUGGACAAAGGUCUAUUUUCCUCUGUCGCGACAUUGUUCGCCCCACUAUUCACCUCUGACCGUACGGUUAAAAGGAUUCUGAUCCCUGACACCGUUUAUCCUUCAUUUUUUGUGACCAUUAAAGCCAUGUUCCUUGGAGAUGAAGUGGAUGUUGAACCGAGAGAUUUAAAGGAAUUCACAACCCAACUGGAAAGCAUUGGUUUAAAAGUUGUAAAAGUUUAUCAUUCUUCUUUUGUUACCGACGAUAGACCAAUGGUUAUUGUCAAGCAACUUUACAAAUUAUGGCGAGCAAUUAUCCUUUGGCCAAGACAUGAGUCUGAUCGACUGAUAAAUGAUAGGGUCCAACCAUAACCAGAACCAGAACCAGAACCAGAACCAGAGCCAGAGCCAGAGCCAGAGCCAGAGCCAGAGACAGAGCCUCCAAAAAAAGGAAAUGUUUAAUUUAAAUAUUAAAAAAGAUAAUUUGAUAAUUUUCAUAAAGCAAUUCAGUUACAUGUCAAUUUCCUCAUUUUCUCAUAAUUUCCCUCCCUUAUAAUCAUAAUAAAAUUUAAGUUAUUUAAACACCUUUUGUUUGUCUAUUUUCUCAAAUGUUUAAAGUCGUUUAGUUUUAUGUUGUUUAUGUGAUAAGAAACAUUAAUUUCUAUGUUUUGUGUGUUUUUUAAUCGAUUGUUGGUGCUUCUAAUCGAUUCAACUUCAAGAUCCAUUGAGAACACUUGAAAAAGGUCAUUUCUUAGUUUAGUUUUAUCGUCAUCAUCCAUGGACAAGAAGAGCAGAAGGUGAUGUUUCAUCAGACUAUUUUGGUUUCCAUAUUCAUCAGAGGCAACCGAUUUGACUCUUACUAGUUUAGUACUAGGUUAAGCAAGACCAGUGAGAUGAAGCGGCUAAGGGAACGAGUUACUUAGUUAAAGGAGGAUAAAAUUUAACAAAGAAACAACAGAUGGCGUUAUUGACUCUUUGGCGCCUUAAAGCUUCCUUAAAAGCUGUGUUAAAUUAACCUCUCUCUAACUUUAAUUAAAAUGCUAUGAUGAUAUCAUAAUUGCGUGCUGAA